UCCAGACUCCUACGGGAGGCAGCAGUGGGGGAUAUUGCACAAUGGGGGGAACCCUGAUGCAGCGACGCCGCGUGGGUGAAGGAGCGUUUCGGCGCGUAAAGCCCUAUCGGCAGGGAAGAAGGAGGACGGUACCUGACUAAGAAGCCCCGGCUAACUACGUGCCAGCAGCCGCGGUAAUACGUAGGGGGCAAGCGUUAUCCGGAUUUACUGGGUGUAAAGGGGGCGCAGACGGCAGCGCAAGCCAGGAGUGAAAGCCCGGGGCCCAACCCCGGGACUGCAUUGGAAACUGUUUAUCUAGAGUGUCGGAGAGGCAAGUGGAAUUCCUAGUGUAGCGGUGAAAUGCGUAGAUAUUAGGAGGAACACCAGUGGCGAAGGCGGCUUGCUGGACGAUGACUGACGUUGAGGCUCGAAAGCGUGGGGAGCAAACAGGAUUAGAUACCCCGGUA
rnacentral:rRNA from 1 species